rnacentral:lncRNA from 1 species
UGCUACUUAUCCAUACCCCUUGUUUGCAAAAAAAACAGGGUUUAUCUCUUUCCUUUGCAGAUCUCAACUGAGAGUCUCCCAUUGUCAGAUUUUGACCUAGGAUCAUCUCAGAAAGGGAUUCUUCUAUGAUUCAGAGAAGGGAAGUUUUUGCAGUAAAGAAGGAAUGAAGGAAGAGGCAUGGAUGAAGAGUAAGAGAGAAUUGAAUUAUUUUGAAGGACACUCGUGACCAAAAAAAGGUUUCAUCAAUGCACCUACAUAUUUAAGAUAAAAUCACAGCUGAUAGCUUGGAAGCUGCACUCCUCUCUCUUUCCCUUCUACCCCACAUCUGGAGAAGCUGAUGAGAAAGCCUGAGUGCUUCCUGGUCCCUGCAUGAAGUUCAAACCCCACAGGCCCUGAAUAAGAGCUGGAAUAAUCUCCUCAGUCUAUCCUAAGACACUAGAGGCCUAGAGAGUCAUCAAGUCUCUAAUUUCAAAAUC